GAUGAAGAACGCAGCGAACUGCGAUAAGUAAUGUGAAUUGCAGAAUUCAGUGAAUCAUCGAGUCUUUGAACGCACAUUGCGCCCCCUGGCAUUCCGGGGGGCAUGCCUGUCCGAGCGUCAUUGCUGCCUUCAAGCCCGGCUUGUGUGUUGGGUCGUCGUCCCCCCCGGGGGACGGGCCCGAAAGGCAGCGGCGGCACCGCGUCCGGUCCUCGAGCGUAUGGGGCUUUGUCACCCGCUCGAUUAGGGCCGGCCGGGCGCCAGCCGGCGUCUCCAACCUUCUAUUUUACCAGGUUGACCUCGGAUCAGGUAGGGAUACCCGCUGAACUUAAGCAUAUCAAUAAGCGGAGGA
rnacentral:misc_RNA from 1 species